CGCCAACGAGUGGCGGACGGGUGAGUAACACGUAGGUAACCUGCCCAGAAGCGGGGGACAACAUUUGGAAACAGAUGCUAAUACCGCAUAACAGCGUUGUUCGCAUGAACAACGCUUAAAAGAUGGCUUCUCGCUAUCACUUCUGGAUGGACCUGCGGUGCAUUAGCUUGUUGGUGGGGUAACGGCCUACCAAGGCGAUGAUGCAUAGCCGAGUUGAGAGACUGAUCGGCCACAAUGGGACUGAGACACGGCCCAUACUCCUACGGGAGGCAGCAGUAGGGAAUCUUCCACAAUGGGCGCAAGCCUGAUGGAGCAACACCGCGUGAGUGAAGAAGGGUUUCGGCUCGUAAAGCUCUGUUGUUAAAGAAGAACACGUAUGAGAGUAACUGUUCAUACGUUGACGGUAUUUAACCAGAAAGUCACGGCUAACUACGUGCCAGCAGCCGCGGUAAUACGUAGGUGGCAAGCGUUAUCCGGAUUUAUUGGGCGUAAAGAGAGUGCAGGCGGUUUUCUAAGUCUGAUGUGAAAGCCUUCGGCUUAACCGGAGAAGUGCAUCGGAAACUGGAUAACUUGAGUGCAGAAGAGGGUAGUGGAACUCCAUGUGUAGCGGUGGAAUGCGUAGAUAUAUGGAAGAACACCAGUGGCGAAGGCGGCUACCUGGUCUGCAACUGACGCUGAGACUCGAAAGC
rnacentral:rRNA from 2 species